AGUAAUAACUUAGGUGCUUUUUCCUAAUUUAGAGUAUAUGACUUUUAGUCUCAUCACCAUCUGACUAAUAUUCCUAACAACUUAACUUAGGUUUUCGGACAUUUAUGAAGUAACGAUAAGCUUACGUCUUAGGAGAUAGAUUAAUCUAAAAUGCGUGCAAUUUAACAUAUGAUUUCUACAUAGUUGAAAUAGGUUCGAUUGGCUAGGCCCGAAGUCCAAAAAUGUUACAUAAAUUGACUUGAUUCUUGAUAAUUGAAAUACUAUUCCGUGUCUGAUGAAACUGAAGUCGAAAGAAGAUCAGAAACAUUUGCAUCUGAAACUUUCUUGAGCCGUCCCAUUGAUUUAACUUGUGCAGGGAAUAAAGGAGCAGCAUCAACCCAGCUAAUAGAGCUCACGGGAAAUUUCUUCAUUGGGCAAUCCAUCAAUAUCAGAUGAAGCCGUAAGAGCAGUUUUUUACUUCCAAUAUUCACUCACGAAAUCUCUUUGGCACAUCUAAACUCCUGCAGCUCUUAUAACUGGCUUUGGCCAAAGGGAAACUUUAUUCAUCGUAUUAUCCUGGACUUUUGGUACUGCUAAGAACAUUGGCCGAGUAUUUUACAGAUUAUAAUGUCCUUGCGUAGGCCUCCGCUUCCUCGCCUUGUCCUGAACAAUGUCUCUUGCAUGCGAAAUGCUCAGCAAAUACUUCGUCAUGUAAAUGUUUCUGUUCAUGAUGGUGGUGCACUUGUGCUGACAGGCACCAAUGGCUCAGGCAAAACUACUUUCUUGCGCAUGUUAGCAGGAUUUUCCAAACCAUCAGCAGGUGAGAUACUCUGGAAUGGUCAUGACAUCACAGAAUCUGGCGUUUUCCAUCAGUACAAGCUUCAGCUUAAUUGGCUCUCUCUUAAAGAUGCUAUCAAAGAUAAGUUCACCGUCCUUGACAAUGUUCAGUGGUUUGAAGUUCUUGAAGGCAAGCAAGGAAGGUCUCUGCCUGCUUUGGAGCUUAUGGGGCUUGGACGAUUGGCAAAAGAGAAAGCACGAAUGCUUUCUAUGGGUCAACGAAAAAGGCUGCAGCUAGCAAGGCUGUUAGCAAUUGAUCGGCCAAUUUGGUUACUUGACGAGCCUUCAGUGGCAUUGGACGAUGAUGGGGUGAAAUUGCUAGAAUAUAUAAUUGCAGAGCACAGAAAGAAGGGAGGGAUCGUCAUUGUGGCCACUCAUCUGCCAAUUAAGAUUGACGAUGCAAUGAUCUUAAGAUUGCCGCCAAGGUUCCCAAGGAGGAUGACUUUAGUAGACAUGCUUGAUCGAGGUGGAUUAGAUUGAGGAUAUUGAUGUUCCUAAUCCAUACAUGUGAAAUGGUUUAUUGGAGAAACGUCAUGGAUCAAACAAAAAUCACAAGUAGGACUUCAGACAAAAUGAAGAUUCUUCAUUAAUUGUCACUAGCCUGUGCUCAAGGAAAACCAAAUUAAUUCUUGGGAAGUUGAGGAUAAGUAGUUCAGCAAUCUGCACUUCAUUCUCGCUCUCGCCACAACGCUGGGAAGGUUGGGAUGAGUUUCUUUUUUUUUUUCCCCGUGCUUUUAUCUUUACUAAGGUUGGGCUGUUGGGCGAUAUGUCCAGCAUUCCCAUUUUGUAUCGCAUCAGAGCAAAAUCUGAAUUUGUUAGUGCCUCAAUGUUAGAUGGGAUCUUUAGUUCCUCAAUAUAUUUGCCUCAGUUGCACUGGAAAUCAAUGUCUGUACUUCCACAAUUUUGCACUAAAAGUUACAUCGUAUCAAAGAUGAUGGGAUUUACA